rnacentral:lncRNA from 1 species
UUACCUUUCCCUUCACAGUUAAAGUGCUGGAAAUGUUUCAUAUUCAAAUAUGAGUGUUUUUUGUUGUCAACAACAGCUCCUUUUGGAAAAUGCUGUUGCUAAAAAUAAAAAGGUUGUUUUUCAGGCUCCGUUUAAACAGAGACAUAGUGCUGCUCGGGGAUCAGGCAGAGCAAAAGCUUAUUCCCUUUACCUGUAUGUUUUGCAGCAGCAUGCUGAGAGGACAGGAAUGAGCCACUGAGUUCAUAUUUCCACUGGAAUUGCAAAACAGAGGGCCAGAUUCAUUAAGAUUAUUAUACUAAGUCAAUAUGACCUUUCCCUUUGUAUUUCGCUUCCUUCGAUUGACUGGAAAUUGGACUAAGCAGCGAGCACUGUGCUCAAGAGUUCUGAAUUUCUUCGGCAAAGGUCGAUGUUUUCAACUGUAAGGGGUUCGUUGUUUCAAUAGCGAUUUUUGUGUUACCCAUAAAGGCUCACAGGCCAUUUCAUUCACCUCCUUUAUAGCCGGUAUUUUUCAUCACCAUUAAACUAAAGAGUUGACAAAAUCUCACAUAAUGUGGCCUUUUAGUGCAGGAGUUACUGGACUCACAUUAAAAUACUGGGUUGUUAACAUCCUGGUAACAAUCUGCUUUCCACCCCUGAAGCCCAAUCCUGCAAAGCGCCGAAUGUUUGGGGUUCUUUUGCUUUAGUUUUUGUUUUAAGUGUGAGCAUCUUCCUCACCCAGCAAAAUGAAUGUGCUUGACAUUUGCAGGAUCCAACCCUAUGUUUAACCAGCUCAAUAACAAAAAUAUUUGAAGGCUAGCUGUUCCUAUUGCGAAUAAGGAUGGUUUCCUAAAUGCGGACCUGUGUACUCUCCUUGUAACCUGGUUAUGGACUGUGUAAUCUAUGGCACACUUUUACAGCGUAAUCAUAUAGAAAAGUCCUUGGCCAAAAAAAGCAAGCAAAAACCGCUAGAUCUCAGCAAACCGCAAACGUGCUUCGACAUCAGAGCGUGGGCAGAUCUGGGAGCUGAAGACUAUGUCAUGCGUCACGUACGGGAUAAUGGGAUACGACUUUUAAAUGGAAGAUACAGCUUUCAAAAUGAUUCAACAUAAUAAGAGAUAAAACAACUGAGGAACUGAAAAAGCAAAUAGUGCCUCUGACUUAAAAGGAAAACAAGUAUCAAUGCCCCUAGCUAUUGUCUAAUGUGGAGACAUUUGAAAAAGAUGAGUCUUCAGAAAAAAAGCAAGCCCUCAACCAGACACCACCACUACAGAGUUGGG